UACGUAGGUGGCAAGCGUUGUCCGGAAUUACUGGGUGUAAAGGGCGUGUAGGCGGGAAGGCAAGUCAGAUGUGAAAGCCCAUGGCUUAACUGUGGAACUGCAUCUGAAACUGUUUUUCUUGAGUACUGGAGAGGAAAGUGGAAUUCCUAGUGUAGCGGUGAAAUGCGUAGAGAUUAGGAGGAACACCAGUGGCGAAGGCGGCUUUCUGGACAGUAACUGACGCUGAGGCUCGAAAGCGUGGGGAGCAAACAGGAUUAGAUACCCUGGUA
rnacentral:rRNA from 1 species